rnacentral:tRNA from 1 species
GCUCUUAUGGUGUAAUGAUUAGCACUCUGGACUCUGAAUCCAGCGAUCCGGGUUCAGAUUCCGGUAGGACCU